UCGAGCGCACCUUCUGGAUCGGAUCGGGUCAACGCGGCGGCUCGAGCGGCUGGAGCUUGAGGGGGCGGAUCCGUGGACGGCAGGGGCUGGGGUGGCGGAUCCGAAGGCCGGCGGAGAGGCGGGGGUCGCCGGUGACGACGAGGAAGGCCGGAGCGCGGCUUCCUGGGCGGAUCCAUGGCAGAAAAGAAACAAUGUGGUGAGGGAGAGAAGAAGGGAGAAAAGAGGGGCGGUGUGGUGUCCCAGGCAAGAACUUGCCGGAGCCGGUGAUGGCGGACGGGUGCGGGAGACGGAAGGAUCGGGCGCGGUGGCGCGAAGUCCUUGUAGUCCCCUUCGCCCCUUCUCUUCUCCCUCGACGACCGCUUGAAUCCCGAGAGGAGAGGAGAGGGAGAUACAUGGUGGCGGCACGAUCCGCGGCAGGACCGGACCUGCUCGUCAAGGAGACCCAUGCCAUGGAGCUGCUCGUCAAGGUCCGACCCUGCAGCAGCAGUUCGUUCCUUCCAUGGAGGGCAUCCACGACAUGACCCGCACAAGGAGCUCCAAUGACCCGCACAAGGAGCUCCAAGCAGAGAAAGCAGUGAGCACGGCCUGCAUCGGCAGCAUCAGAUUCAGAUUGUGUUUGGAGAUGGCGGCCCAAGGGGAGGAUUUCAGUGGAGAUCGUACUUUGACUAUAACAACAGGCUAAGAUUUCACCUGCACUGUACGCGAAAAGCAGGUUCAGGAGCUCCAAGCCAACAAACACCAGAGCUUUGAAAAAGAUGUAAGAUUUCUACUUUUUAGCUUCUGUCACAAAAUUUGAUGUAGCCUAUUAUUUUGUAUGGCAGUCAGGUAUGUCAUAAGAAUGAGGUAUAGACCUAUUGUUCAGUUUUGUUUGAGAUAGAAUACAAAUUAUGCAUAAUAUUUGAAGUUUAUAGAACAUGACCACAGCAAAAAAGAAAAGCUUUAAAGAUCAACAUAGGCAAUACUUUUUCUGGUAACAAUUCAAUUUAUGAUUCUUCAAUUAAAUGCCCGAAAUUAUUCCAGUAUGUAGUAUAUACUUGCUGCUAAUUAAAAAGUAUAAAUAUAUGCUUUCACAUGCAGUCAUGGCUUUGCUAACAUGUAUGGUGUCAGUUUAGAUAGACCUCAUAGUGUUGUUUUGAUUCUUGGCUUCAGUAUCAGUAUAAGAAGAUAGAUGUACGCACUUGUAGAACUACAGUUUGUUGCAGUUGCUAGGGACUGUAAAUUGUCAUUCUAAUUCAUUCUUUUGCAUUUCGGUCUGUCAUUCACUGUUACUUUAAUGUUUCACAUGUUUCGCUGAUCUCCCAGGAUUAUAGAAGCUUUUUAUCUGUUUUCUCAUCGGAACAGCUCUCCGUGCCUUAUGAAAGUCAUUUGGAAAUAUGAGUGAGAAGUAGGUGUUGUAUUGUUUUGUUUUUUGUUAAUUUCUGGGGAGGAAGGGAACUACAGUUUUGGCAAUAUUCAUGAUUCACAAGCACCAUGAUUGAUAAUGUUGUUUACGACAUAAACUUUGUCAUGGUUGAUUAAUAGGCACAGUUGAUUUUAGGUGCUAGAAGUAAAGCACUGCUACAAAUUUAGAACUACGAUGUUGUUUUUGAUAGUUCUGUAACAUUACAAAUCUGGAUCAUUGAAAUUUUUCGUACCAGAUCAA